AGAAUUAUUCAAAACACAAAAAUACUAGCACAGAUGGUAUUCAGUGAUUGCAGAUAUCAUAAAGACAGUUCAUGAAUCACCAACAUUUGAGAAGCACUGUGUUCAUGAUGUUUCCUGGAAGAGGUGGGUUAUACAAUGUUUCUUGGAGAAAGGGAUAGCAGUCUACUGCUAGGAGGGAGAAACGAAGCUACUAAGGUGGACAAGGAGACGGGCAGUUGGCUUUUCCUCUUCUUGGAGAUCACAGCCAAGGAAGCACAGGAGAGGCACCCCCUGGAGGCGCUCCAUGGCUGCAGGGCUGACAUGGCCCAGCCUGGGCAACAAGAGUGAAACCCCAUCUCAAAACAAAACGACGACGACAACAACAGGACAGCAGAGAUGGACGAUGAGUCGGGAAAGCUAACCAGGCAGCGUGAGGCCAGGACGGAAAGAGCCACAGGGAGCUCCGCUCAGUUUUGCUACCGGGGAUCUCUCAGGCUCACAACGGGUCAGUCCUCUAGGGAAGUUCUGGCCUCAUCAUGAUCCUUCUUUCAUCUCAUUCCCCAUGUCCUUCCUCUGUCCCUCCUCCCACUGCCAUUUAUUUAUUUAACUGAAAAAGUACCAAUCACCCACAUAUGCAUAAAAUACUCAUCCAUGUACUUAUUUCUUAAAAUUGAUCAUUGUUAACAUUUGGUGUCAUUUGCUUUAUUUUUAAUGAACGAAAUAAAACUUUACAGAAAAUGCUUUUUCUUUCUUCCCUCCCUAUCCUAUCUUUUUCUCCUAAAAAGCCCUAUUAUCAGAAAUAUUAGUGUGUAUUCCCAGUUUUGAUUUUUUAUUUUAUUACACACACACUCCCACACAUAGAUGUGGCAAUGAACUUCACAUAGUAUGAUUCUGUAUUUUCUCUUUGUUUUUCAAACUUACAAAAGUAUUUUACUAUUUCUCAUGGAAAAACUCACUUUUCCCAUCCAACAUUGUGUUCUCUUAAGAUCUAUGUUGAUAUAAAGAAAUCUAGUUCAUUCUUUUUAAUGAAAAUUAAGUAUUAUAUUUUAUGAAUGUAACUCAUGCUAACCAUGGCAAUAAAAGCUCCAUCAAG